UUGUGGUGCUAAUAAAAUGCAUUGAACGAAUGCCUUGGCUUUAAGAAAUUGGACGCUAACAAAGGCGAAACACCAUAGGAAGAAAAUCUCUGUGAACUGUGGGUCUCCCCUCGGGAAACCAAUGAUUAUAUUAAACGGUGUGAACUGAAACAUCUCAGUAGCACUAGGAAAGGACAUCAACCGAGACUCCGUUAGUAGUGGCGAGCGAACGCGGAUUUGGCUAAUUGCGCAGCGACAUCGACAUUUUGUAUUAGUUAGAAACAGUUUGGAAAACUGUGCCAAAGAAGGUGAAAGCCCCGUAUUCGAUCUAAUACGAUGACGUGCGCCAGCAUAAGUAAAACACAUCUAAUGUGUUAGAACUAAACAGGGGGACCGCCCUCUAAGCCUAAGUAUAUCUUAAAGACCGAUAGUGAACAAGUACCGUGAGGGAAAGGUGAAAAGAACCCUAAGAAAGGGAGUGAAAAAGAAAUCCUGAAAUUCGAUGCAAACAAUCAGUCGCCCCUGCUGCGCAGCGGACGGCGUACCUUUUGCAUAAUGGGUCAGCGAGUAAAUGGGCACAGCAAGCUUAAGCUGUUAAGUGUAGGCGUAGCGAAGUUGUUUUUAAAUUAAAUAGUUGUGUUCAUUUGACCCGAAAUCGAACGAUCUAGGCAUGGACAGGUUGAAGAGAGUUCUAACGAGCCUUGGAGGACCGAACCCACGUAUGUGGCAAAAUACAGGGACGAUCUGUGCCUAGGGGUGAAAGGCCAAUCAAGUUCGAAUAGCUGGUUUUCCGCGACAUCUGUUUAGGCAGAGCGUAUAAAGAAAGUCAAUGGUCCGAGGUAGAGCACUCAAUGGAUUAGGGUGGCCCAAAGCUUAACCGACUCCAAGGAAACUCCGAAUGCGGUCUCAUUAUCAGUUUAUACAGACAGACUUUGGGUGAUAAGAUCCAAGGUCGAGAGGGAAACAGCCCAGAUCGUACGCUAAGGUCCUUAAGCAAUCACUUAGUGGAAAAGGAAGUGAUCAAGCGAUUACAACCAGGAGGUGGGCUUGGAAGCUGCCAUCCUUUGAAGAAAGCGUAAUAGCUCACUGGUCUAGCUUCAUUGCACCAAAAAUGUAUCGGGGCUCAAGUGAUUCACCGAAGCGACGAGACCCAUAAGGGUCGGUAGCGGAACGUUCUGUAAAUUGAAGAAGACUGUUGAUAACAACAGUUGGAAAUAUCAGAAGUGAAAAUGCUGACAUGAGUAACGAUUAAUCAUGUGAAACACAUGAUCGCCGAAUGUUCAAGGGUUUCUGCGUUCAGUCAAUCUGCGCAGAGUUUAACGGUCCCUAAGUUUACUCCGAAAGGCGGUAUCACGAUGGGUACACGAGAGUGACGAGGCUGAUCGCCGAAUAAAGCGGCCAAAUAGGCGGCGAGUGGAUGACUAAACAAGGCGGCAGCCUCCAAGAAAAAACUUCGUGCUUUAGACCGUACCCCAAACCGACACAGGUGAACAAGUAGAGUAUACUAAGGCGCUUGAGAGAACCAUGUUGAAGGAACUCGGCAAAAUGACCCCGUAACUUCGGGAGAAGGGGUGCUUUGCUUUUCCGUGGGAGAAGUAAAGUGGCACAUACCAGAGGGUGGCGACUGUUUACUAAAAACACAGGACUCUGCUAAGUGGUAACACGAUGUAUAGGGUCUGACACCUGCCCGGUGCUGGAAGGUGAAAAGGAGAAGUCUUAACAGCUUUGAAUAGAAGCCCCAGUAAACGGCAGCCGUAACUCUAACGGUUCUAAGGUAGCGAAAUUCCUUGUCGCAUAAGUAGCGACCUGCAUGAAUGGUGUAACGAUCGCCCUACUGUCUCCAACAUGGACUCAGUGAAAUUGAAUUCUCCGUGAAGAUGCGGAGUACCAGCGGCUAGACGGUAAGACCCUGUGCACCUUUACUAUAACUUUGCAGUGAUAGCCUUGAUUGAAUGUGUAGGAUAGGUGGGAGACUUUUGUCGUCCUUGAAAUACCACCCUUUCGUCAGAGGAUAUCUAACCGCCUAACCCAGGCGGGACACUGCAUGGCGGGUAGUUUAUCUGGGGCGGAUGCCUCCUAAAGAGUAACGGAGGCGCGCGAAGGUAGGCUCAAGUUGGGUUAAAACCAGCUUUCGAAUGCAAUGGUAUAAGCCUGCCUGACUGUGAGACCCACUAGUCGAACAGAGACGAAAGUCGGCCAUAGUGAUCCGGGAGUCCCGUGCGGAAGGGCUCUCGCUCAACGGAUCAAAGGUACGCCAGGGAUAACAGGCUGAUGACUCCCAAGAGCUCAUAUCGACGGAGUCGUUUGGCACCUCGAUGUCGACUCAUCACAUCCUGGAGCUGAAGAAGGUUCCAAGGGUUCGGUUGUUCGCCGAUGAAAGUGGUACGUGAGUUGGGUUUAGAACGUCGUGAGACAGUUCGGUUCCUAUCUACCGUUGGUAGAUUUAUGAGAAUUGAGAGAUUUAGACCUUAGUACGAGAGGACCGGGUCGAAUCAACCUCUGGUGUAUCGGUUGUGGUGCCAGUCGCAGCGCCGAGUAGCUAAGUUGGUAAGGGAGAACUGCUGAAAGCAUCUAAGCGGGAAACCCUACUCAAGACAGAUUCUCUUUAGAGGUGAAAGACCAUCACUUUGAUAGGCGGGGGGUGUAAGUAUUGUGAGAUGUUAAGCUUACCCGUACUAAUUUUUUUCUUUUUUUGCUGAU
rnacentral:rRNA from 1 species